GCAGUCGUGGCCGAGUGGUUAAGGCGUCGGUCUUGAAAUCCAUUGGGAUAUUCCCGCGUAGGUGCGAGUCCUACCGGCUGCG
rnacentral:tRNA from 1 species